GCCACUAUAGCUCAGAGACUAGGCACUGGUCUCAUAAACCAGAGUCGCGAGUUCGAAUCUCACUGGUGGCU